UACUAACUAGUAAUUAUUAAUAUAUAUAUAUAUAUAUAGAAUUGAGCUUCUAUAUUUUUAAAAGUACCAAGUUAUUAGUGCUUGUAAGUUUUCAACACUUGAAUUAAGAUAUGCAGUUAGGAUGGUUGGUUGAAUAGUAUAAUCUAACGAAUAAAAAUAAUCAAAAGUAGAGAUCUAACGGUAAAAAAAUUACAAGCACCGAGUGCUUGGUAUAUAUAUAAUUGAGCUAGAAUACUUUUACAAGUAUUACCUCCAUGAUGCUAUUAGGUUUUUAGCCAUUGGAUCUAACUCCUUGAUUAUUAAUAGUCCUUGGAUCAAACACUAUUCCACCUACCACUACCUACCACCACCUACCACCAUCAUCUCAACCUCACAUCUUUCCAUCAAAUGGCUAAAAACUCAAAAGCACCAUUCAUAUAAUACUUUUACAAGUAUUUUAGCUCAACUCUCUCUCUCUCUCUAUAUAUAUAUA
rnacentral:lncRNA from 1 species